GCAUUAAUGGGGUAGUGGUAACCUGGGUCGUUGCCAUAGUUCUUUCGAUUUUCUCGACCCGCCGGGGGUUCGAUUCCCCCUUAAUGCA